CCUACGGGUGGCAGCAGUGGGGAAUAUUGGACAAUGGGGGCAACCCUGAUCCAGCCAUGCCGCGUGUGUGAAGAAGGCCCUCGGGUUGUAAAGCACUUUCAGUGAGGAAGAACGCCUGGUGGUUAAUACCCAUCAGGAAAGACAUCACUCACAGAAGAAGCACCGGCUAACUCCGUGCCAGCAGCCGCGGUAAUACGGAGGGUGCGAGCGUUAAUCGGGAUUACUGGGCGUAAAGCGCGCGUAGGUGGCUUGAUAAGCCGGUUGUGAAAGCCCCGGGCUCAACCUGGGAACGGCAUCCGGAACUGUCAAGCUAGAGUGCAGGAGAGGAAGGUAGAAUUCCCGGUGUAGCGGUGAAAUGCGUAGAGAUCGGGAGGAAUACCAGUGGCGAAGGCGGCCUUCUGGACUGACACUGACACUGAGGUGCGAAAGCGUGGGUAGCAAACAGGAUUAGAUACCCCUGUAGUC
rnacentral:rRNA from 1 species